GCAAAACGCGAAGAACCUUACCCACCUUUGUACAUGUACGGAAUCCUUUAGUAGAUAGAGGAGUGCUCGAAAGAGAGCCGUAACACAGGUGCUGCAUGGCUGUCGUCAGCUCGUGUCGUGAGAUGUUGGGUUAAGUCCCGCAACGAGCGCAACCCUUGCCAUUAGUUGCUACAUUUAGUUGAGCACUCUAAUGGGACUGCCGGUGACAAACCGGAGGAAGGUGGGGAUGACGUCAAGUCCUCAUGGCCCUUAUAGGUGGGGCUACGACACGUCAUACAAUGGCUGGGUACAAAGGGUUGCCAACCCGCGAGGGGGAGCUAAUCCCACUAAAGCCAGUCGUAGUCCGGACUCGCAGUCUGCAACUCGACUGCGUGAAGUCGGAAUCGCUAGUAAUCGUGGAUCAGAAUGUCACGGUGAAUACGUUCCCGGGUCUUGUACACACCG
rnacentral:rRNA from 1 species